CAAAUUUUGAUUUCUGUAUUCAUUGCACAUCCACUGGAGUAUCACAGCAUAUGAAAUUCAGUUGCCUGUUGGCAGGAAGAGCGGGAGCGUCGACCAUGAGGCUGACAGGAAAGUGAAUCACUGAUUUAAAAACUUACCUCAUGAUUAGGUGGAACACACGCUGAGCAGGAAUGGACACGAGACUGCUGAGUGCAAGUGCCAGACAUCCUGGAAGAUCCAAGUGACGAGUACUUUUGCUUACAGAGAAAACAACGCACAAAUUGCAAAAGAGCAUCAUGCUUAGGCAAUAAGGAAAUGACAUCACCACAAACCCCAGGAACCCCAUC